rnacentral:tRNA from 1 species
GGUGAGGUGGGUGAGCGGCUGAAACCAGCAGUUUGCUAAACUGCCGUACCCGCAAGGGUACCGAGGGUUCGAAUCCCUCCCUCACCGCCG